rnacentral:tRNA from 1 species
UUAAUUGAAUUAAUAUUACUGUUAAUAAUAAAAAAGAAUUUAAUAAUUCCAAUUAAG